rnacentral:rRNA from 1 species
GACGAACGCUGGCGGCGUGCCUAAUACAUGCAAGUCGAGCGGAAGUUGGAGAGCUUGCUCUUCAACUUUAGCGGCGGACGGGUGAGUAACACGUGGGCAACCUGCCCUGCAGAUCGGGAUAACUCCGGGAAACCGGUACUAAUACCGAAUAGUUUUCGCCACCUCCUGGUGGCGUACGGAAAGACGGUUUCGGCUGUCACUGCAGGAUGGGCCCGCGGCGCAUUAGCUAGUUGGUGGGGUAACGGCCCACCAAGGCGACGAUGCGUAGCCGACCUGAGAGGGUGAUCGGCCACACUGGGACUGAGACACGGCCCAGACUCCUACGGGAGGCAGCAGUAGGGAAUCUUCCGCAAUGGACGAAAGUCUGACGGAGCAACGCCGCGUGAGUGACGAAGGUUUUCGGAUCGUAAAACUCUGUUGUGAGGGAAGAACAAGUACCAACUAACUACUGGUACCUUGACGGUACCUCACCAGAAAGCCACGGCUAACUACGUGCCAGCCGCCGCAGUAAUAC